rnacentral:rRNA from 1 species
CAGCAGCCGCGGGAAUACGUAGGUGGCAAGCGUUGUCCGGAAUUAUUGGGCGUAAAGGGCUCGCAGGCGGUUUCUUAAGUCUGAUGUGAAAGCCCCCGGCUCAACCGGGGAGGGUCAUCGGAAACUGGGAAACUUGAGUGCAGAAGAGGAGAGUGGAAUUCCACGUGUAGCGGUGAAAUGUGUAGAGAUGUGGAGGAACACCAGUGGCGAAGGCGAUUCUCUGGUCUGUAACUGACGCUGAUGAGCGAAAGCGUGGGGAGCGAACAGGAUUAGAUACCCGCGUAGUCCCUGUCUCUUAUAC